GCGGGUAGGUUAAAAGAGUUUACCAUGCAUAUGAGUAUAUCAUAAGAUGGAUAGAGACAAUACUUCAAGGUAGGGGUAGGAUAAAAAGAUAGAUAGUGUGACACACACGGGAAUCAUCUAAAGAUAACUAAGCUAGGGAAAAUAGGUUCAUAUGUAUUUCCUAUAUACUGCACAGAUCAUACAAGCAUAACAUACAUAUACAUUGUAUAAAACUCAGGCCUAUGCACCCAGGCCCACACGGGGAGACAAUACCCGUACUGGUUCGGCCCAGUAAAGUUACUGCUAAUUUCUGAACUCCUACAGUGUACCCAAACGUGGGGGAUUACGAAGAACCAACAGGGUUGUCACUAUUGUAACAACCCUAGUUUUAAUUAACCUUGUCAAAGCUUAAGUAGAGUGUUUAGAAGUUAAUCUCGCGUUUAAAAGGACCAAAAUACCCUUUAAAAGUGUAGUUUAGAGGCAAUUCAUAAAUUGAAAAUUUUAUAUAACAACUUUGAUUU
rnacentral:lncRNA from 1 species